UACGUAGGGCGCAAGCGUUGUCCGGAAUUAUUGGGCGUAAAGAGCUCGUAGGCGGUCUGUUACGUCCGCUGUGAAAACCCAGGGCUUAACCCCUGGGCUUGCAGUGGAUACGGGCAGACUAGAGGCAGGUAGGGGAGAAUGGAAUUCCCGGUGUAGCGGUGAAAUGCGCAGAUAUCGGGAGGAACACCGGUGGCGAAGGCGGUUCUCUGGGCCUGACCUGACGCUGAGGAGCGAAAGCGUGGGGAGCGAACAGG
rnacentral:rRNA from 1 species